rfam:Felis catus isolate Cinnamon breed Abyssinian chromosome A2, whole genome shotgun sequence.
GCCUGGGUGGCUCAGUUGGUUGAGCAUCCAACUUUGGAUCAGGUCAUGAUCUCACUGUUUGUGGGUUCGAGCCCUGCGUCAGGCU